rnacentral:rRNA from 1 species
GACGUAGGGUGCGAGCGUUGUCCGGAUUUAUUGGGCGUAAAGCGCGCGCAGGCGGCCUCGCGCGCCCGACGUGAAAGCCCCCGGCUUAACCGGGGAGGGUCGUUGGGGACGGCGGGGCUUGAGGGCGGGAGAGGUCGGUGGAAUUCCCGGUGUAGUGGUGAAAUGCGUAGAGAUCGGGAGGAACACCUGUGGCGAAGGCGGCCGACUGGGCCGACCCUGACGCUGAGGCGCGAAGGCGUGGGGAGCGAACGGG